GAUGAACGCUGGCGGCGUGCCUAAUACAUGCAAGUCGAGCGAACAGACGAGGAGCUUGCUCCUCUGACGUUAGCGGCGGACGUGUGAGUAACACGUGGAUAACCUACCUAUAAUACUGGGAUAACUUCGGGAAACCGGAGCUAAUACCGGAUAAUAUAUUGAACCGCAUGGUUCAAUAGUUAAAUACGGUUUUUCUGUCUCUUAUAGAUGUUUCCGCUCCGCAUUAGCUAGUUGGUAAGGUAAAGGCUUACCAAGGCAACGAUGCGUAUCCGACCUGAGAGGGUGAUCGGCCACACUGGAACUGAGACACGGUACAGAGGACUACGGGAGGCAGCAGUAGGGAAUAUUCCGCAAUGGGCGAAAGCCUGACGGAGCAACGCCGCGUGAGUGAUGAAGGUCUUCGGAUCGUAAAACUCUGUUAUUAGGGAAGAAAAAAUGUGUAAGUAACUAUGCACGUAUUGACGGUAACUAAUCAGAAAGCAACGGCUAACUACGUG
rnacentral:rRNA from 1 species